rnacentral:lncRNA from 1 species
GGGGAAACAUUUUUCUAGUUGGAGGUCUACAGCGAUACCUAAAAAGUAUAAGAAUAUAAUAAAUUUAGAGCCGGAUCUAAAUUCUGUGCCUGGAAUUCUGUUCCUCCUUAUUUCCCUCUCCUGGCUUCCUUCAAGACCCAUCUAAAAUUGAACUUCCACAAGAACCUUUUUCCUGAUUUUCCCCUUAAUACAAGUUCCUUCUCUAUGCAGAUUAUCUUCAAUUUAUCUUGUAUCUAUCUUAUUUGUACACAAUUGUCUAAAUGUUCUCUCUCCUUUAGACUGUAAGCAAUUUGAAAAGGUUUUUUGCCUCUCUUUAUAUUCCCAGCACUUAGCAUAGUGCCUAGCAAGCACACAGUAGGAGAAUACUAAAUGCUUGUUGAUUCUUAACUAAAAAAUAAAAACUGUGAGGCAGUCUAAUUUACUUCCUUCAUUUAACAGAUGAAGAAACUGAGGUACAGACAUGUUGCAUAUUUUCCUCAAAGAAUUUCCUCUUCACGCCUUUCUGCCCACACGGAUUCUUAUCAUCAUUCAGAUUCAUUUCCAGUCCACACUCCAUGCUGUAAGUGCAGCAAUGACAUCUUGUAAGUGUGGAAGAGGAUCCAGAGCCAGGAUGAUGGUUCCAGCCCAUGCUUCAGAGUGUGGACAAAGAAAAGCCUCUAAUUAUGAAUGGCAAGAUUUAGAGGCAAUUGUUGGGCAGCUUAAUAUCUCUUCAUCCAUCCUCCCCUCAUCUGACAUUCUACUUAAGUAUGUAGGUAUCUUCCCCAGCAUAAUUUGAAUCAGUCUUCCAACCAGUAUUUUGCAAACACUCCCAUUCAACCAUAGUCUGCAAUGUAGUGGCAUCAUCAUCAUCAUCUUUAUCACUACCACCACCACCAUCAUCAUUAUCACCUACCAUACUUUGUAGAGGUUGUGAGAAAUGUAGUUACCCAAAAAGAAUCUCUCCUUCUAUGAUAUAUUUUAAAGUACUUUUUGCCAUUUAUACAACAUAAUUUGAAAGCCAUCUCAGUAUUGUAAUUUUGUUUUUCAUGAAAAUUGUGUACGUUUGUGAGAAUAAAAUAUUGUGCCUCCUA